rnacentral:rRNA from 1 species
UACGGAGGGAGCUAGCGUUGUUCGGAAAUACUGGGCGUAAAGCGCACGUAGGCGGCGCAGCAAGUCAGGGGUGAAAUCCCGGGGCUCAACCUCGGAACUGCCCUUGAAACUGCAGUGCUAGAAUCUUGGAGAGGCGAGUGGAAUUCCGAGUGUAGAGGUGAAAUUCGUAGAUACUCGGAAGAACACCAGUGGCGAAGGCGACUCGCUGGACAAGUAUUGACGCUGAGGUGCGAAAGCGUGGGGAGCAAACAGG